UGACGUGUUUCUAUCAGUUUACCUGUAGUAUACUGUAUUCAUCCUCCUCCAUCACCAAAUUCUCUAGGCAAUGCAUGAAGAUUAUGAUGAAAGAUGUGGAGAGCUGUUACUGGAAAACAACAACCUAAACCAAACGAAUUUAAGAAUGACUUGUUUGACUUGUUUCUUGGUACUGUUGGUGUAGGCUACUCAUGACAUCUCAGCUUUGUUCUGGGUAUGCAGUAGCUGAGGAGCACUCUGCCUGAGGGGAAUACUGAUCAGUCUGUUGUUACAGCAAAGACCCAGACCCACACCCCUGGGAGGACUUGGGGGGAAUGUUAAUUGAGGGGUGCAUUCCUGAUUCCAUAUGUCCUGUUCCUGCUCUCCUGUGGUAUCCCCAUGUUCCUCCUGGGGACAGCCAUGGGACAGUACACCUUGCAGGGCAGCAUCACCUGCUGGAGACACUUCUGCACUCUCUUUGAAGUGUCAUACAUCAUCAUCCAGCCCUGGGCCUUCUUCUACCUGUUCUCCUCCUUCAGUGAUGAGGUGCCAUGGGCCAGCUGCGGAAAUGCCUGGAACACAGAGGCUGAGAAAUUGGCGAUUGAGCUAAUCUGUCAAGAUGGCCGCCGAUAUGGGCGAUAUGGACUCCCUGCCAUAUCGGAUUUUCAGCUCUAACUUUACAAUGCUAUGGGCUAUUAACUCAGUUCCAAUUGCGUCUGAAAGAUGAGAUCCUCAACUUGGUAUGGAGACAUUGACUGGAGGCUAAAUACUGUACGUAUGUAUAUUUUUGGAGUUACAGUAACUGUACAGUUGCAAUUUGACGAAGAAAGUGUCCGAUAUAGUGCACAAAUUGAAAUAUUAGAAUCCAGGUAUCUCUUGAGACAUUUACAUGGUAGAUACAGUAUAUCCUCCUGGGGUUUAGUGGGACCUCAACUACAUAGUGUCAUGACUUCCUCCGAGGCUGCCUCCUCUCCUUGUUCGGGCAGGCUUCGGCGUUCGUCGUCACCGGCCUUCU